rnacentral:lncRNA from 1 species
AAUUCCUGACACGACCCGAUAACCCGACACGACACGACCCGAAAUUAACAGGUGUUUGAGUCGACACGAUAACGAAUCGGGUAUUAUCGGGUAACCCGAUAAGCACCUGUUAAAAUAACGGGUUGGUUCGGGUAUACACGUGGGUAACACGAUAUACGAUAAGCAGAAUAUUAAUUUAAUAAUUUUAUAACCCUAAAAAAUACUGUAAUAAUUAUAUAUAAUAAUUUAACAAUUUUAUACCCCUAAAAAGUUUAAAACUAUAAUUAUAUAUAUAUAUAUUAAAUUAACUAUAAUAAUUAUAUAUACUAUAAUAAUUAUACCCCCAAAAUAUUAACUAUAAUAAUUAUAUAUAUAUAUAUAUUAAAUUUUAAAUUAAAUAUUAUACCCCUAAAAAAACUAUAAUAAUUAUACGUACAAAAUAAAUAUAUUUAAAUCUACAUAACAAAUAAAUAAAUAUAUAUAUAUACACACACCAAUGAACUUGAUGGGAUACACGAAACUAAUUUCAACGAUCAAACCGUCAACUUGUUUGUAUAUGGUUCGAGAUCGCAUAUGCCAAAAAUCACAAAAAACAAACAUUCAGAGAUCAAGUAAUGAGACAAAACUUUUUGAUGGUGAUAAAACAAAAAAUCACGAUUUAACGGUUAUUUUAACUUCGAUUUUGAUGAUUUUUUACAAGUACACUUUUUGACCCUAUACGAAUACAAUGAAUGAAUUCGAUCGUCAAUUUAAAAUAUUUACAUAAGUGGAUACCACAAAAUCUUAUGUUAUACUUAAUGAAAGUAUAAAUAAACUCUAAGUGUUAGUGAAUCUAUCGUUUUGAUGGGAUACGAAUUCUAUUAAACUAAUUUCAACGAUCCAACCAUCAAUCUUGUUUGUAUAUGCUUCGAGAUCGCAUACGCCAAAAAUCACAAAAAACAAACAUUCAGAGAUCAAGUAAUGAGACAAAACUUUUCGACGGUUAUAAAACAAAAAAUCACGAUUUAACGGUUAUUUUAACUUCGAUUUUGAUAAUUUUUUACAACUACACUUGUUGACCCUAUACAAAUACAAUGAAUGAAUUCGAUCGUCAAUUUAAAAUAUUUACACAAGUGGAUACCACAAAAUCUUAUUUUAUACUUAAUAAAAGUAUAAAUAAAGUGUUAGUGAAUCUAUCGUUUUGAUGGGAUACAAAUUCUAUGAAACUAAUUUCAACGAUCAAACCGUCAAACUUGUUUGUAUAUGCUUCGAGAUCGCAUACACCAAAAAUCACAAAAAACAAACAUUUAGAGAUCAAGUAAUGAGACGAAACUUUUCGACAGUUAUAAAACAAAAAAUCACUAUUUAACGGUUAUUUUAACUUCGAUUUUGAUUAUUUUUUACAAGUACACUUUUUGACCCUAUACGAAUACAAUGAAUGAAUUCGAUCGUCAAUUUAAAAUAUUUACACAAGUGGAUACCACAAAAUCUUAUGUUAUACUUGAUGAAAGUAUAAAUAAACUCUAAGUGUUAGUGAAUCUAUCGUUUUGAUGGGAUACGAAUUCUAUGAAACUAAUUUCAAUGAUCAAACCGUCAAACUUGUUUGUAUAUGCUUCGAGAUCGUAUACGCCAAAAAUCACAAAAAACAAACAUUCAGAGAUCAAGUAAUGAGACAAAACUUUUCGACGGUUAUAAAACAAAAAAUCACGAUUUAACGGUUAUUUUAAUUCCGAUUUUGAUGAUUUUUUACAACUACAUUUGUUGACCUUAUACGAAUACAAUGAAUGAAUUCGAUCGUCAAUUUAAAAUAUUUACACAAGUGGAUACCACUAAAUCUUAUGUUAUACUUAAUGAAAGUAUAAAUAAACUAUAAGUGUUAGUGAAUCUAUCGUUUUGAUGGGAUACGAAUUCUAUGAAACUAAUUUCAACGAUCCAACCGUCAAACUUAUUUGUAUAUGCUUCGAGAUCGCAUACACCAAAAAUCACAAAAAACAAACAUUCAGAGAUCAAGUAAUGAGACAAAGUUUUUCGACGGUUAUAAAACAAAAAAUCACGAUUUAACGGUUAUUUUAACUCCGAUUUUGAUGAUUUUUUACAACUACACUUGUUGACCCUAUACGAAUACAAUGAAUGAAUUCGAUCGUCAAUUUAAAAUAUUUACACAAGUGGAUACCACAAAAUCUUAUUUUAUACUUAAUGAAAGUAUAAAUAAACUCUAAGUGUUAGUGAAUCUAUCGUUUUGAUGGGAUACAAAUUCUAUGAAACUAAUUUCAACGAUCAAACCGUGAAACUUGUUUGUAUAUUCUUCGAGAUCGCAUACGCCAAAAAUCACAAAAAACAAACAUUCAGAGAUCAAGUAAUGAGACAAAACGUUUCGACGGUUAUAAAACAAAAAAUCACGAUUUAACGGUUAUUUUAACUUCGAUUUUGAUGAUUUUUUACAAGUACACUUUUUGACCCUAUACGAAUACAAUGAAUGAAUUCGAUCGUCAAUUUAAAAUAUUUACACAAGUGAAUACCACAAAAUCUUAUGUUAUACUUAAUGAAAGUAUAAAUAAAGUCUAAGUAUCUAUCGUUUGGAUGGGAUACGAAUUCUAUGAAACUAAUUUUAAUAAUCCAACCGUCAAUCUUGUUUGUAUAUGCUUCGAGAUCGCAUAUGCCAAAAAUCACAAAAAACAAACAUUCAGAGAUCAAGUAAUGAGACAAAUAUUUUCAACGGUUAUAAAACAAAAAAUCACGAUUUAACGGUAAUUUUAACUCCGAUUUUGAUAAUUUUUUACAAACUAAACUUGUUGACCCUAUACGAAUACAAUGAAUGAAUUCGAUCGUCAAUUUAAAAAUAUUUACACAAGUGGAUACCACAAAAUCUUAUUUUUACUAAUUAAUGAAACUAUAAAUAAACUCUAAGUGUUAGUGAAUCUAUCGUUUUGAUGGGAUACAAAUUCUAUGAAACUAAUU